UCACACCCACUUAAGCUGCAAGCAAGAGAUGGAAUCGAGGUCUCACACCCUGCUGCUCUCGGGAAAAUGUCCAACGUCUUCAUCAAGAUUCACAAGGCCUGGCCCCUGACUUCCUCUCCAGCCUAUCUCUCCCCUCUUCCAGCUCUUGCUCCAGGCAAUACACUACGUGCUGUCCCCAGACUGUCACCUCUCUCACCUGGAACCCCUUGCCUGCCCCUUCAUUCCUUCUUCUAUCCCCAGCUGCACUGUUACCUCAGAGUCCUGCCAGGGUCCCCCACUGAGUGAGAAACCAUCAGCUCUGCUCCUGGAACAGCCUGGGUCAUCUCUGAAACAUUACCACUCUGUAGAAUGGUUGCCUGAUUACAUGCCUGGUAGCUGUUGUCCUGGCCAGGGUGAUAGUAUUACCACAGUGACCUCCAGUUUGGGCCCUAGGCUCCAUAAACAUUUGCUGAAUGAGUAACUUGCUGGCCCGGCCUAGCCCAUCAGGCACCUUCAGGUCAGGCACCACUGUGUUCUUGCUGGCUCACCAUGACCUCCUCAGAGUUCCUGAGGGAAAGAUGGUGGGAAAACCCCAACAGUUAACUGCCCUUACUAAAGUGUCUCUUCCUGGAAGAGAAACUUCAACACAAAAAGAGAGUUACAUAUCAACAGAAGUAAUGGCAUAUAGACUUUCCUCAUGAAGUUCUCACUGUGUCAAUUUACCAGGAGCAAAGAACCCGGCAGGGCAGAGAAAGGCAUACCAAGGGACUGGAGUUCCGGCUCUGACGCCACCCCAAAGCACUGUGACUUUGGGCAGAUCCCUUCACUUCUCUGGCCUGUCUGUCCCAGGCCUAGGAAGUAAAGGGCUGGGUCAGGUCCUCGCUAAAAUCCUGGGAGGAGAGGCAGGAGAGAAGCUGAGCAAUCUGAAAAGCACAUCAGUUGGUCCCCACUCAACCUUGACCUCAGCCCUGGAUAUGGCCCAACUCAAAUCCUCCUCCCUAAAACAAACCCCCCUACAGUGGGCAUUUACAGUCUGGGUUACAGGGCAAAAUUCCCACCAAGGCCUUGCAGUUGGUGCUUUUGACAAACAAACAAAUCUAGACUGAACUGGCACCUUUCCUUUAAGAGGAAGAACAGGAAGGACACCUCCUCACACCACAUUCCCCACAGUACAAGUUGUAGUUGGACCUUAUUUCUACCCAGACCGGGUAAUUACCAGACCCAUGGUGCUGGGCUAUGUCACCAGCCUGAGCCUCCCUCCCUGAGACAAUGCUGGAGGUAAAUCCACGCCCCCUGUCCAAGGCACUAGGGUUGGGAGACUGUGGACCACAUUAUAAGGAAGAGGGGAGCACAUCUAUUCCCACCGAUUUCACUGAACUGGGGGAAAAGGAGAGAAUUUGCUGCUAUUUUUCCUGAAUUCUACCAAAUGCACACCAGCUUGGAUAUUGAUCACAUGUGAGUUCAAGUCCCAAUUCUGCCACUUUCUAAUUAUUUCACUUUGGACCAGUUACCAGCCUCUCUGCGUCUGUUUCAAAUCUGUAGAGUGGGGAUAUAAUGCUCAUACUGGAGGCCUCCCUUGAAGGGUUGUUAUGAGGAUUAAAUGAAACACCUGACAAACAUCUAGCACAGGGCCUUUUUAGCGCUAAGUGCUUAGCAAAUGCUAGCAACUGUUAACAGCCUGGAAAUGUCUGGCACAGAGCAAUGGGGCUUAUGUUUUUAAAAUAAUUUCCCCAUUAAUCAUGGUCAGAACCAAAUCCUGAUCCCACAGCCCAGAAUUCAGGUCUUGUCAUGCCACCUCACUUACCGCCCCAUAGUUUCAGCUACUUUUGAUUAAACAACGGAGAACUCAGAGUUGUGAAAAUGAAAAUCUCCAGGCAAAGACUGUCCCACUCCUGACCACAGCAGCAGACCCAAACCCAGGAAUCCCCACAGCUUGGAUCUGAGGUUUCUUUCUGUCCUAGCAGUACAGCCCUGAGAUCAGGCGGCCCAAUUCCAAGUUACUGACUUUGAGCCUGGGAUGCCUCUCCCCCAGUGAGCUUUUGUUCCUAGGGGAACCUUUAGAAUACUUACUUUUGAAUCUCAUGAAAAAUCCCUGUGAGGGAGUAAGAACCAGGAAGUUAGAAACACCUUGGGAAUGCAUGAUAAUGAGUGGCCCCUGAACAAAGAGCUGUCUCUGCCAGCUCUGGGCCAAUAAAUCUUUUUUUGCUCUUUGGGUUGGUCUCAGUUUCUUUAUUUAAAUGAAACCAAAGGAUCAAGACGGGGCAUGGAGUAGAGAGAAAAAAGACAUCCUAGCCAAACUCUCCUUGACUUGGUUAAUAAAUAAACCAGGGAUUAAGCUGCUCUAGCACAUUCUAUUCUGUAGCCCAGAAGGGAUCCUCCUCAUUCCAAGGGACAUGGACACUAGAUUAGUAGCUUCAGUCCCUACCCAACUUCCCUGUGUCUGUGUCUGCUGAAUGUGGUGGUUGACAAGACCACCUCGAACCCCAGAGUCACUUCUGGGGUACCACCAGGACCAGAAAGGAUCCAGAGGCAAAGAGAAGCUUCUGGGGCCCUGAUAAACAAAAUUGGCCCAUGAAGGCAUGGUGUAUGCCUGGCAGUGUGCCAACCACUUUCCAUGUAUCUCCUUAGUUAAUCCUCAUAACCCCAUACCGGGGAACUGUUAUUAGUAUGACGGCUCCGAGGGGUUGAGUGGCAUGCUCAAGAAAUUGGCAGAAAUAAUCUUAAACCCCACAACUUGAUGUGGGAGGGUAUCAUAUAAUACUGCCUUUACCAUUUCACUACAAAUUUUAAAUGAUGUAGUAUUUCCAAAAAUUAGGAAAUUAGUAAGCAGUGGAUUUAUCUGGGAAGGUUUGGAAAAGGGGAAGGAUUUGCAGGGUCCCGGGGAAGGGGAAGAGGCAAGGACCCCACGUGCUGGGAAGAAGUCCUACAUGUGCAAGAAGCAGGGGCAAGACCCAGAUCAGACUUUUCUACAGCAAAUGUUCUCACUUCCCUCCUGUAAUGUAUCUAAUCUGGAAAUUAAAGGCUACCUGAGCAUGUAUAAAAGGCUACUUGAGCGCUGUCAAAACACCUAUUAAUUUUAGCAGCUCUUAUAAAUGCCUUGCCCGGGCACUCAGGAUGGAAGAGCUGCCAGGAGGGCAUGUGUCUUCCCAAGUGGGUCUCCUCAGCCAAACUCUGCUGACAUUCCUUUCCCGCCAUGGACCUCAGGCAUUGCAAGGUGGGGCAGCUCAUGACAGCUUCCUCCACACAAGCUCUUUGGACUCAAAAAUCCUUUUUUUUUUUUUUUUAAGUUGUUCUUUCUUUGCUCUUUGGAAACUACUGUUCAGAUGGUUCUGCAAGUUUAAUUUCUUCACUCUUCGGCACUGAGAAUUUUGCUUUUGUUUUUAAUAGACUUAUGCAAAUCAAACGUAUAAUAUUUCUCUUAAAUUGAGGUCAUCUGGGUGACUAGUUCAAGAUUCAGAACAAGAUGCAUUCCAGGAUGUCCUGACACAACCAGAGAGGGACUGUCACUGUCUGGCUGAGCCCCCAGUUCCCCAUGGGAGAAUGUUGAGCCCACUGUCAGCCCCCAGCUCCCACAUAGCACGAGUCUCUCCUUCCUCCUCAGGCCCUCAGCCGUAGGUAAGUCUCUGCCUCCGACUCACAGAUCUCUCUGUGACCAAGCCACCAUGUAGGAAAGUUCCUGGAGGAAACAAACAUUUAUGGACCUCACGGUUUGGGGUUAGCUGGAUCAUUUCUUGGAAGAUUUCUGAUCUGUAACAGAAGACAUAGCAGAGUCUUGCUUUUUAGUCCCCACCUCUGUCCCCGGCUCCUCACCUGCAUGUGCUAGUUACACAACAAAUGGCUUUUUUUUUUUCCUUUAUACUCACAUGCACUGAAUUUUAGUUCGUAUCCUAAUUGUUUGGAUUUUUUUUAACAAAUGCUUUUUAGACGGCAAAUGUUAAAAUGAAUUUUGCCAAUGCCCCAUGCUUCUCUUCCCACUCAGUUCACAGAAAGCAAGUUUGGGCCUGCCUCUGAUCUCUUGCAGCAGCAAGCUAAUCUCCAAGAUGACCUCACUGCAGAACUGUGUUUUAUAAUCAGCUAGCAAAUCUCAGCAUGAACCGAGAGCAAAGGUUAGAAAGACAAUAAAAACACAAACAAGCCAGGAUUGUACAAGUCAGGUUAGUUCAGAGAACCAGCUGGACCUAUGAUUAAAUUUUAAUUAAAAAAAAGAAACAAAAAACCAACAACUAUAGGAGGAGAAGUCUUCCCAGCAGAUAAGAAUCCUUUUCAGAAGAAGAGCAAGACCUUUUUCUUAUUAACAAAUGGAGACGUUGUAGUUCCUGAGAUAAUAAACAAAGGAAAAGGAUUUGAAAAUUCA